UUAUAAUUUCAUAAACUUGAGCAUAAUUUCUUCGAAAUGAGUGAAAAGUAAGAUGAAGAGAGUGAGAAGCACAGAGAGAUGUGUUGUUAGAUAAUGUGUAUCUCUAAAUUGCGAGACACAAUGGUUCUUCGCUCUCUUCAUUUUCGUGAGAUGUAACCGAUCGG
ensembl:ncRNA R151.15 ncRNA